rnacentral:rRNA from 1 species
UACAGAGGUCCCAAGCGUUGUUCGGAUUUAUUGGGCGUAAAGAGCUCGUAGGCGGCUCAGUAAGUCGGGUGUGAAAACUUUGGGCUUAACCCAAAGCGUGCAUCCGAUACUGCUGUGACUUGAGUUCGGUAGGGGAGUGGGGAAUUCCUAGUGUAGCGGUGAAAUGCGCAGAUAUUAGGAGGAACACCGGUGGCGAAGGCGCCACUCUGGGCCGAAACUGACGCUGAGGAGCGAAAGCAUGGGUAGCAAACAGG